AGCGAACGCUGGCGGCAUGCUUAACACAUGCAAGUCGCACGAAGGUUUCGGCCUUAGUUGCGGACGGGUGAGUAACGCGUAGGAAUCUAUCCGUGGGUGGGGGAUAACUCUGGGAAACUGGAGCUAAUACCGCAUGACACCUGAGGGUCAAAGGCGCAAGUCGCCUGCGGAGGAGCCUGCGUUUGAUUAGCUUGUUGGUGGGGUAAUGGCCUACCAAGGCGAUGAU
rnacentral:rRNA from 1 species